GAUGAACGCUGGCGGCGUGCCUAAUAGAUGCAAGUCGAGCGAACGGACGAGAAGCUUGCUUCUCUGAUGUUAGCGGCGGACGGGUGAGUAACACGUGGAUAACCUACCUAUAAGACUGGGAUAACUUCGGGAAACCGGAGCUAAUACCGGAUAAUAUUUUGAACCGCAUGGUUCAAAAGUGAAAGACGGUCUUGCUGUCACUUAUAGAUGGAUCCGCGCUGCAUUAGCUAGUUGGUAAGGUAACGGCUUACCAAGGCAACGAUGCAUAGCCGACCUGAGAGGGUGAUCGGCCACACUGGAACUGAGACACGGUCCAGACUCCUACGGGAGGCAGCAGUAGGGAAUCUUCCGCAAUGGGCGAAAGCCUGACGGAGCAACGCCGCGUGAGUGAUGAAGGUCUUCGGAUCGUAAAACUCUGUUAUUAGGGAAGAACAUAUGUGUAAGUAACUGUGCACAUCUUGACGGUACCUAAUCAGAAAGCCACGGCUAACUACGUG
rnacentral:rRNA from 1 species